AGGCGAGUUUCUGUUCGCGGCAAGCUUAAGCCGGUAGGUGUAGGCGCAGCGAAAGCGAGUCUGAACAGGGCGUUCAGUCGCCGGCGGGGUAGAGGCCCGCCGCGGUAACGACGGGUAACGGGGAAUCAGGGUUCGAUUCCGGAGAGGGGAGCCCGAGAAACGGCUACCACUUCCAAGGAAGGCAGCAGGCGCGCAACUUACCCUAAUCUCGAUUCGAGGAGGUAGUGACAAGAAAUACCGAUGCGGGGACCCCUACGGGGUGCCGCGUUCGGAAUGAGUACGAUUCGAACCACCUAACGAGGAACGAUCGGAGGGCAAGUCUGGUGCCAGCAGCCGCGGUAAUUCCAGCUCCAAUAGCGUACGUUAAAGUUGCUGCAGUUAAAAAGCUCGUAGUUGAACGUUCGGGUUCCGCGGGACGGGGCCGCCCCGCGAGGGACGGCGCCGCCCCGGGGCUCGUGAUAUCUCAUCUCGCCGCCCGUCGCGAGGCGGACGGAGGGAUGGAUGAGGUUACCUGGAAAAAAAUCGGGGC
rnacentral:rRNA from 1 species